CCAUUUUCAUUCUAAUGGUUUUUCGUUUCAUCUUCUUCUUCUUCUUCUUCCUCUAUUUUUCUCAUGGGUUUCUUUGUUCUACGAAGGUAGACUGAACCAAAAAUCUCUUCUUCUCAUGGGUUUUUUUUUAGUUCUACGAAGAAAUCCUAAUAUAUCCUUCUCCUGGUCUAUGUCAAGCCCCGAAACUCGCAUUUGUAAUAUUUCAAUAAUGGAUUCUUCCAGUUGAGGUCAAAUAGAAAGAAAGAAAUCUCACAAUCACAGGAACCCGAAAAUGAGCUUGAUUUCAAGAUUUGGGUACCGUUUUUCGAAUGGGUUCUGCAGAAACCCAACUUUUCUUUUACCAUUAUCAUCGAAAUCGAUCGACUCGGACUGGGUUACCCGGAAAUUCAAUCUUAAUGGAAAGAAAGAGGAGGAGGAAGAAGAACUCGAGAUGAUUGAUCAAAGAAGGCUCCCGGCAGAUUACGACCCAGAGAAUUUCGAUCCCACAGAGCACCGGAGCCCUCCAACCGAUCGGGCUUACAGGCUGGUAGAUGAAGUUUCAGGGCUCACACUAGUUGAAGUGGCGGAGCUGUCAUCGAUUCUGAUGACUAAAUUGGGUAUGAAGGAGGCUCCAGUUGUUGGGGUUAUGAAGCCUGGAGCUGCUGGGUUGGCCGGAAUGGCGGGGAUGAAGGCAACGACGGCGGCAGCGAAGGAGGAGAAGAAGCCAGAGAAGACUGUGUUUGAAUUGAAGUUGGAGUCUUAUGAGGCUGCAGCGAAGAUAAAGAUCAUCAAAGAGGUUAGGAGUUAUACUGAAUUGGGUCUCAAGGAAGCAAAGGAUCUGGUGGAGAAGGCGCCAACGGUGUUCAAAAGAGGAGUGUCGAAGGAGGAAGGCGAGCAGAUAAUUGAGAAGAUGAAGGCUUUGGGGGCGAAAGUAGUAAUGGAGUGAAUCAGAAUGUUCUUACAAGAAGCAAUAGCAACCUUGUUGGGAUGCUAAGAGGACUGGUGAGAUGCUGGUCAAAUUUUAGGUGGGAGGUCCAGUCCAUAUCAAUCUUUAUCAUCUUCUUCUUAUAUCUCCUAAGGUUCUGAACUGGGAUUUUGGACAUAGGUUAGUGGUGUGAGAUGUGGAAGUAAAGGAGAUCUAGCACUAAAUGAAUUCCUUGGAGAAGUAUUCAUCUCUUUAAGUUUUUGAUAAUCGUAUCAAGUCCCUGUCUCCUUACAUUGCAGUCUCGAAAAAAAGUAUAAGGUCCUAGUGAGGUCUGUCUGAAUUUGGAAAGGAGCACUCGUGAUAUGAUUCAGCAAGGCUGGAAAGGUUGGAACCGUCUUACUUGGAAUUGUCAUAAACUGCUUGAUGAAUGGUGAUCAUGAUCAGUGCUUUCUUUGGCCCAAACUGCUUUCUUUGGAGCUCCUCUUGUCAUGAUUUGUUCUCCUGGAAACCUUGGUUCUGCAAUUUUCUCGCAAAUGAAUAACGUAAAACACUUGGCCAGAUGUGUGUG